AUUCGAGAUAAUUCACAGAAAACAAGACCGUAUAAUCACACAUUUGAAAAACUUUCAGUUCCAGAACUUGUUUUUAUAUCGAAACAUGAAGACUUUUGUUAUAAUAUAUAUUCUAGCUGUGGUUAUUGUCGUCUCCAUGGUGACAGGUAGCGUAGAAGCUACAUCUCCGGCAGGAACAGGGAACAUAGCUGCAGGUGUACCAGCAACACCAGGACAGAAUGUCACGGCAGGACCAGGAAUGAAUAUUACGGCAGGACCAGGACAGAAUCGCACGGCAGGACCAGGAAAGAAUUUUACGACAGGACCAGGAAAGAAUUUUACAACAACACCAGGAAAGAAUUUUACGGCAACACUAGGAAAUAGUACCACGGCAGCACCAGGACAGAAUCUUACGGCAGCACCAGGAAAGAAUC